rnacentral:rRNA from 1 species
GACGAACGCUGGCGGCGUGCUUAACACAUGCAAGUCGAACGGAAAGGCCCUGCUUUUGUGGGGUGCUCGAGUGGCGAACGGGUGAGUAACACGUGAGUAACCUGCCCUUGACUUUGGGAUAACUUCAGGAAACUGGGGCUAAUACCGGAUAGGAGCUCCUGCUGCACGGUGGGGGUUGGAAAGUUUCGGCGGUUGGGGCUGGACUCGCGGCUUAUCAGCUUGUUGGUGGGGUAGUGGCUUACCAAGGCUUUGACGGGUAGCCGGCCUGAGAGGGUGACCGGCCACAUUGGGACUAAGAUACGGCCCAGACGGCAACGGGAGGCAGCAGUGGGGAAUAUUGCGCAGUGGGCGGAAGCCUGAUGCAGCAACGCCGCGUGCGGGAUGACGGCCUUCGGGUUGUAAACCGCUUUCGCCUGUGACGAAGCGUGAGUGACGGUAAUGGGUAAAGAAGCACCGGCUAACUACGUG